rnacentral:tRNA from 1 species
GGUUGUGGCUCAGUGGUGGAGCACUAGCCUAGCAUGCGUGAGGCACUGAGUUUGAUCCCCGGCACCA